AGCGAACGCUGGCGGCAGGCCUAACACAUGCAAGUCGAACGAACCUUUCGGGGUUAGUGGCGGACGGGUGAGUAACACGUGGGAACGUGCCUUUAGGUUCGGAAUAACUCAGGGAAACUUGUGCUAAUACCGAAUGUGCCCUUCGGGGGAAAGAUUUAUCGCCUUUAGAGCGGCCCGCGUCUGAUUAGCUAGUUGGUUGAGGUAAUGGCUCACCAAGGCGACGAUCAGUAGCUGGUCUGAGAGGAUGAUCAGCCACAUUGGGACUGAGACACGGCCCAAACUCCUACGGGAGGGAGCAGUGGGGAAUCUUGCGCAAUGGGCGAAAGCCUGACGCAGCCAUGCCGCGUGAAUGAUGAAGGUCUUAGGAUUGUAAAAUUCUUUCAACGGGGACGAUAAUGACGGUACCCGGAGAAGAAGCCCCGGCUAACUUCGUG
rnacentral:rRNA from 1 species